CCCACGUAGGCGCGCAGCGAGAGGCCGAGGCGCCGCAGGUCCAGCACCGGGUAGGCCAGCAGCUGGCCCGGGCCGUGGAAGAUGGCUGACUGAAACCCUGAUGAAGGAAACA